rnacentral:rRNA from 1 species
GAUAAACGCUGGCGGCGUGCUUUAUGCAUGCAAGUCGAACGGUCUUGAUUUAUUGAGAUAGUGGCAAACGGGUGAGUAACGCGUAAGUAACCUGUCCCUAAGUAGAGGAUAACUCUGAGAAAUUAGAGCUAAUACUGUAUGUGGUGGUGAAGGUAAUGCUUCAUUACUAAAGCUUUAGGGCGCUUAGGGAGGGGCUUGCGUCCGAUUAGCUAGUUGGUAGAGUAAUGGUUUACCAAGGCGAUGAUCGGUAGCUGGUUUGAGAGGACAUCCAGCCACACUGGGACUGAGAUACGGCCCAGACUCCUACGGGAGGCAGCAGCAAGGAAUUUUGUGCAAUGGGCGAAAGCCUGACACAGCGACGCCGCGUGGGGGAUGAAGGCUUUCGGGUUGUAAACCCCUUUUCUCAGGGAAGAAUAAUGACGGUACCUGAGGAAUAAGUCUUGGCUAACUACGUGCCAGCAGCCGCGGUAAUACGUAGGAGGCGAGCGUUAUCCGGAUUUAUUGGGCGUAAAGAGGGCGUAGGCGGUUUUUCAAGUCGAUUGUGAAAUUUCCCGGCUUAACUGGGAAGGGCCAUUCGAUACUGUUGGACUAGAGGGCAGCAGGGGGAGGUGGAAUUCCCGGUGUAAUGGUGAAAUGUGUAGAUAUCGGGAGGAACACCAGUGGCGAAGGCGGCCUCCUAGGCUGUUUCUGACGCUGAGGCCCGAAAGCGUGGGGAGCGAACAGGAUCAGAUACCCUGGUAGUCCACGCCGUAAGCGAUGGACACUAGGUAUAGGGAGUAUCGACCCUCUCUGUGCCGAAGCUAACGCAUUAAGUGUCCCGCCUGGGGAGUACGGCCGCAAGGCUAAAACUCAAAGGAAUUGACGGGGGCCC